rnacentral:rRNA from 1 species
UACGUAGGGGGCUAGCGUUGUCCGGAAUCAUUGGGCGUAAAGAGCGUGUAGGCGGCCCGGUAAGUCCGCUGUGAAAGUCGGGGGCUCAACCCUCGAAUGCCGGUGGAUACUGUCGGGCUAGAGUGCGGAAGAGGCGAGUGGAAUUCCUGGUGUAGCGGUGAAAUGCGCAGAUAUCGGGAGGAACACCAAUGGCGAAGGCAGCUCGCUGGGACGGUACUGACGCUGAGACGCGAAAGCGUGGGGAGCAAACAGG